CAUGUGGAUAAGAGAACACUGCAGCACGCGUCUAUUAGGUUGACUACAAGCUAAUUGUGGAAUUUGUAAAUUAGAUUUGUGGUACUUAUAAUUAGAUUUGCAAUAGAUUUAAACUUUUAUCCUGAUGCAGAUGCCAAGGCUUAAACUGGGAGAGUUUUUGAGGACCCUUGUGGGUGUGUCUUUAGUCCUACAUUAGAUAUGAAUCGGAUAGAUCUUAGGUACUUAAUAAUACCUUAAGGUAGGAAUGGCAAGGGGUAGGGUACCUGCAAAAUUUGCCUUAUCUGUAUCUGAAUCCAUUUAAAAUCCUACAGCCCGAACCUUAACAAGUUUUAA
rnacentral:lncRNA from 1 species